rnacentral:lncRNA from 1 species
CGGGGGACUACAGCGUGAAGCACCACCGCGGGCUCGAUGUUUACAUGCUGACGGCUGAAGCCAAGGAAGGGGUAGCAGCCAGCUUGGAGAGUGACAUACGGCACCUUCGGAUGUACAUGCAGAGCCACCAGCACAUGAGUUUAAAGCAACAGACAGAGCCUGUACUGGGAGAUUCUGGAGACAGCUGUGCUAAAGGAGCAGAGCCAGAUGGUCACCCGAGAACUACCUCUCAGAGCCUAGAAGAAAUGGAAGGAAGGCAGGAAAGUCCAUCUGAUCUUGUUCACCUGGACAUUGGGCAGCUCUCGGACCAAACCCACCAGGAGGAGAAGUGCAACAUCAGGAGUUUAGGAGCUUCUAAUGAGGCGUCAGAUGACUUGCUGAGCCUGGGGGAUGCAGAGAGCCCAGAGUGCUUCUGUGAAAGUAAAAAUACAGUGACACUGAGUAAAACGGAAGAGGAGGGGCAAACCUCUGCUGAAGGCUCUGGGACUAUAUCAGAUGAGAAGGGCUGCACAGUGAGUCUGUGUGCAAGUAUAAACGGUGCUGUAAAUCUUCCAUCCUGUGGAAAUACAAAUGAGGAAGCUGGAAUGACAUCUGCUGGAGUUGUUCUGGAUCAAGCUGGCUUGUGCAGUAAAGAUAGUCCCCAUCAGGAAGCACAAGCUGCCGAGGAACGUGCAGCUGACGGUACUGUUGGUGUGGUUGAAACUGCAGGCGAAGCCCCAGCUUCCUUGGAGGGCGUGGAUGUGGCUAUGGGCCAAACUGAAUGCAGGAACUGUACAGGGACGGCUGAGAGGGCUGCGGGCCAGAAGCAGGUAGAGGAUGGGAUGGCUGAGGCUGGUAAGAGGAGGACUGCAAACCUAGAAGAGCAAUCGUCAGCUAAGGACGAGUCAGCCAGUGCUGCUCAGCCCUUACUCGGUCAUUUUAAUGGCACUGAGCGUGCAGAUGGGGAGGAUGCAAAUGUGGGAGCGGUACCGGCGUGUGACGGUAUGGAUGCAGAUGGUGCUGGCGAUGUCUCUGUUGACCUUUGCAAGACUGGCGAUAACAAAGAGACUGGAGCAGACUCAGGCACUGAUCAGGUAAACAGUGGCUUCUUGGAAGGCCAAGGUGAUGCCCCUGUUGCAGCGAGGCAGGAUGUCUUUGCGAGCCCCAGGGCAGCGUUACCAGCAGUGAAUGGGGUGAAGGUUCCCGUGUGUGCAUCAAAACCUGGUCCUGGUUUGGAAAUCCAUGGCAGCGGUAAGAGUGGAGAGCAAGAAGGGCAGGUGGAAGCAGGUUGCACAGAUGGGAAGUCCAGCUCGCCCUCACUGGAAGGCAGUGUGAAAACUGAUGGCCCUGAUGCUAAACCUGAAAAUGGUGAAGUUGGUGGAUCCAGUCAAAGCAGUGCAGAACCUGCGUGUUGCCAGGAGAGCGGUAAGAUCACUGAACAUGUGGCUGAAGCAAUGGAGGACAGUGAAGCCCAGCUAGCAGGAACUGAUACCAGCAGCAGCAGAGAUGGAGGAAGCGCUGAUUCUGCAGACAGAGGUCAGGAAGUUGCUAGCUGUUGCCCUUCUGCUGAUCAAACUGUCGUUAAAGAUGAAAUGGGCGACAGCUUCAAACUGGACACUGCUCAAGAGAGGACAUGUGAGCCUGCAUCACUUCCUCCAGAGGAUGCAAGCACAUGCCUGGCAGAAAAAGAGCCUGCACAAACCAAAGUAGAGGUAGCAGAAAGUGCUUCGGAGCAGGAGGAGCUGGGUGGUGAGAUGAAAUCACUUGCUCCCCUACCCAGAGAGGGGCCAGCUGUGAGUGAGGAGCAAGAUACUGCAGUGGCACCUGCCGGACAGGAGGCAGCUCUACAAGGUAAUGACCCUGGAUUAGCUACGUGUGCCAAGGGCGCAGACUAUGUGGAGGAUAAUUUAAUAGGCACACCCUCUGCAAUUCAUUAUGAAAAAUCUGAACAAAACCAGGAAGCAGUGGUGGUGGCGGCAGGCUCGGCAGAGCUCGCCCAGCAGCCCUGUGGGGAGCAUGGCGGGGUAGCUGCUGGAGCCGGCUGGCCUGGGGACCGUGCAGGGGAUGAGGGCUCUCUGGAGCAGGGCCUCUUGCAGCAGGGUGAAGGAUCCAAAGCUGAACCUGAGCAGGAGGCUUGUGCAAGUGGCAGGGAGCAGGUUUUGUCAGAGAAACUUCUUGCUGCUGUUGUGAAACCCUCUGUCUGCAGUCAGGGGAGGCCUGUGGCAGGUGGCAGUGAUGUGGAUGCUGGGCUGAAAGUCCACGCCGAGGAAGCGUGCAAGACCGGGGCAGUGGGUAUAGGAGAAGGCACCGUGCAUAGACCUGCAUCAGCAGACGAGUCUCCGGGUGUGGAGAGUGACCCUUGUCUGGAUGAGGGGCUGAACCAACAGCAUGAUCCCAGCCAAACCCUACAGCGAAUCUCCCCGCGCAGCAGCACCCCUGAAUUAAAGGAUGCUUCAGAAAUGGGAGCCCUGAGCGAUGCCUGUGAGGGUAAGGAAGUUUUAAGGCCGGUGACAAUAACCCCCGUCGCAGUGUAUCCAGAAGAGCAGGAGGAUACAGAAAGCAUGCUUCCCCGGGCAGCACUUCAGCCCAUUGCAGAAGAGCCCACGUGCGACAGCGACUCCAGCACUGACACUGUUUGUCCAGCUGGGGAGAGCGAUGCUGGUCCCCCUGCGAAAGCAGCUCAGGGGGAGGUCUCGGCCAAGUCUGAUGGAAAGCAAAGCCGAGCUGUACCCGAAUCACCCUUCUUGCCGUGUUCGUGCCGUUUACAUGCUGUUGAGUCACUGGAAAAUGUGGGAGUAAAGAGUUUGGUUUCGGUAGAUGAUGGCUCCUCUCUGGAUAAAGUUCCUAAAAUGGUAAAAAGUUUUGAUGCGGUGGUUUUUGCAGCAGAGACACCUUGUUCCCCUGAAUUACCAGCCGCAGAAAAAGCAGGACUUGAGCCCCAGCCUGCAGUGGAUGUGGGAGCCAGCCUUAAUGGAGAAGUGGAUUUAAGUUCCUUGACAAAGAAGAGGAAUGUCAGCCUGUCAGUGCAACAAGCUGAUCCUGUUACAGGUAGGAAAAAUCAGUUGGUUUCCUACUUUUCAGCUUUUUCUUUGUAGAUAUGACUCCAGCAUCUCAUCAGCAAAGGAAGGGAAAUAAGAGCAGGAGGCCUGCCUUGCAGAGGAAGUGUAGGUGUUUGGGGCUUUUAUUCUGAGAAAGG